GCUGCUCUCCCCCUUGGUCUGCCUGGCUGUCCUGCCUUCUGAUACCUUUAGUUCUGCCACCUGAAAAGCCUGUGCUGCCUGCCCUCCCUGGCUGAGCGCGCCUGUGCCUGGAGCCCGCAUCUCUAGGAGCUGCUUUCACCGAGGGAAGAUGUCGACUAUAUCCAUCAGAUGACUUAUUCUGGAAUACAGAAAUGGCAAUGAAGAUCAUACCUGUUUCCUCUUCUUGUUACAUUAGCAAACGCUCUUUACUGGCUUACCAAUAGACUUUAUCAAAGGCCUUCCUUGCCCAUCAGCUUCCAGCUUGGUCAAAGGGAAAUAACCCAGCAGGAGAGAAAGAGAAGGGAAGAGGAAGGUCCAGGACUCCUCCUUGUGCUGAAUUUUCUUCAAGAGGCGAUUAAGGAAAAGUGACACCAUCAGGAUGGGCCCUAACCUGACUGGCAUCCUUUUAAGAGGAGACUGGGACACAGACAGGUACAGAAUGAAAGGCCAUGUGAAGUCACAGGGAGAAGUUGGCAUCAUCCACAAGCUGAGAGGCCUGAGAAGAAACAAAG